AAACCCCCUACGCACAGCCUGAAAAUCCUGCCCUGCCCUGCAGGAACUUGCUGCUCUGGAUCUCGGUGCUGCCCUGAGCUGGACUCCGACGCCGGACUGCCACCUACUUCACCAUCCCAUGCCGGUCUCCUUGUAAGAAGAGGAGAUCAGGACACAGACAUGCACAGAAGAAAGACCAUGUGAAAACAGAGGGAGAAGAUGACCACCUACAAGCAAAGGACAGAAGCUUCAGAAGAAAUCAACUCUGCCAACACCUUGAUCUUAGACGUUUGGCCUCCAGAACUGUGAGAAAAUUAACUUCUGUCAUACUUGGCAAGAGAACUGAAAACAGAUUUUCAGUCUUGAGAGAAACAACCUCAUUCAGAAACUGCUGAAUACUCAGGAGUGAGAUUGCCGGGUCAUAUGGUAAGCAUAUGUUUAACUUUAUAAGAAACCGCCAAAGUGUCUUCCAGAGUGGCUGUACCAUUUUAAAAUCCUACAGAUAAGAAAUCCAGAUGCCCUGAAUCCUGUAAGUAGUUCAUAUUGUCAAUAUUUUGUUUCAGCCACUUUAGUAGGUAGAUAGUAGAUAUCACUGGGGUUUUCACUUGCAUUUCCCUAAUGGCUAGUGAUGUUGAACACAUUUUCAUACACUUAUUUGCCAUCUGUAUAUUCCCUUUGGUAAAAUGUCUGUUCAAAUCUUUUGCCCAUUUCCUAACUGGAAUGUUUCU